AAUUUUGACUUUUUGAUCCGUGGCUCGUAUCGACGAUCGGAGACCGUGGUUGCGUUCAUCUCGUCGAGACGAACCCAUUUUGCUAUUCAUACGUCCAUUCCGGGCACUUUGUGAUCCGUAGCAAGCCCAAUAAAUUUAGACCGUUCGUUGUUUUAAAAAAAAAUAAAAUGAAAAAAAAGAGGAUAAGUACUAAAGACCGAUCCAUCCAGACACUUCGCUCUCGUUCGCGUUUGCUCUCUCUCUCUUCUCGUUGCUGAGCAUGUCUGUUGCCGCUGCUCCUGCCAUCGCUCGCGUGCGCCGCCGUGCGUCGUGCGCUGCUGCCCGCGCCGUCCGCCGGUCGAACCCGUCCUCCGGCGUGCCGCGCACCUCGCCGCGCCGCUGCGCCGCGCCCCACCACCUGCUGUGCGCCGUCGUCGCGCUGGGCCGGCUCUACGCCGUCGCGCCAGGCUGUGCGUCCUGCCGCCUCUGCGCUGAGCUGCUGCUGCCGCCGGUGCUGCGUGCUGCCGUGCCUCUGUGCUAAUCGCUGUGUGAAGGAGCAGCAGCAGCCACAAGCCAGCCGGCCGAAGCAGCCAGCUGACCGAUCGAAGAAGCAAGCAGCCAGCGCAGGAAGAAGCCAGGAAAGAGAAAGGAAGAAAGAAAAGAAAAGAAAAAGAAGAAGAAAAAAAAGGGAAGAAAAAAAAAGAGAAAAGAAAAAAAGGGAAAGUUGGAAAUUUCGGAAUUUCGUCGGAUCGUCGUCAAUCUUUCGAAGGCGAUUUCUCGGUGGUACUAUUUCCGGACGUUCUUGAUCGAAUUUUCUUCAUCGUCGGUAAAGGCAAGUGAAUGUAUGUUUAGAUGUUGACGUACAUUUUGGGGAUGGAUCUCGGUAGCUGCACACACUAACUUAUCACGAUGUCGAUAGCUCAACCGGUGUAUACAAGUGGUGUGUCUGAUGGUCCGUCGUUUGUUUUUGUUUAUGUUGUGGUUCGACGCUGGUAGCGUCAUGGCGGACUCUAUAUAUAUGCUGGUUAUAUCU